CCUACGGGUGGCAGCAGUGAGGAAUAUUGGUCAAUGGGCGGGAGCCUGAACCAGCCAAGUCGCGUGAGGGAAGACGGUCCUAUGGAUUGUAAACCUCUUUAGGCGGGGAGCAAUGCCGGGCACGCGUGCCCGGAGGGAGAGUACCCGCAGAAUAAGCAUCGGCUAACUCCGUGCCAGCAGACGCGGUCAUACGGAGGAUGCGAGCGUUAUACGGAUUUAUUGGGUUUAAGGGGUGCGUAGUCGGAUUUUUAAGUCAGCGGUAAAAUGUCCGGGCUCAACCCGGGCAGGCAGUUGAAACUGGGGAGCUUGAGUGGGCGAGAGGUAUGCGGAAUGCGUGGUGUAGCGGGGAAAUGCAUAGAUAUCACGCAGAACUCCGAUUGCGAAGGCAGCAUACCGGCGCCCGACUGACGCUGAGGCACGAAAGCGUGGGGAUCGAACAGGAUUAGAUACCCUUGUAGGC
rnacentral:rRNA from 1 species